rnacentral:sRNA from 1 species
GCCCUUGGAAGUAGCUGGAGGUGAGGUGGGAAAGCCACCGUGCUUAUCUGGUUGUGGCACAUGCAGUAUUAGGAAAGCCAUUUUGUGAGAGGGCUUAGAAUUCAAAGGUGCGUGGCAGUUCAGCCGCAUCUUCAAGACGGAGGCCAAGGACAGCCUGUAGCUUUACAUCUUAGAGUUUCAUCACAUGCAGGUUGUCUGGGAAAAUCACCUUUGCAUUUUUUUUAUUACUUAAAAUAGCUCCUAUAUGUUUGAUGUCUAGAUCACAAAUUUUAAGAAAUUAUAGGAGCUGAGUUUGGUACAUCUAAGAGCUGAGAGUGAGUGAUACUGAGCCAUCUGCAAAACUGCUGGUGAGAGAUGCAAAUUAGAAAUCUUCAGCCAUCUGUGUUUGUAAGUGGAAACAUAUAAAUACACAUUUCUCAUUUGCCAAUUACACCUUCCCUGGUGUAAGGGGAAGAAAACAACUUGGCAUCUGAUGUGGGGAGAAUUAUUGCUAAGACCCGGAGGCAGGGUACUUCUUACUGCUUCAGGCCUGAAUUUAGGUGGUCAUUUGGGGUGUGCAGGACAGAGCACCUCCUAAGGACCUGAGAGUCCAGUCAGUCAGUGGGGAGGCCCAGCUCCCCCACCAACUGUAUGAGGACAGAUCACCCACUUCCUCACUUGGGGCUCUGGUUUUCUCUUCUUACUACCCGAUUCCAGUGCCUAUCCUGUCUUUCAAAUCCUCUGUUUAAAAAAUGAAUCUUAAGCUCUCUCGGAGGGUCCACCAGGCCUUGCCCCUCUAUUCCCAGAGACAAAUGACACCCCUUCCAGGCUAGUCUCAGGAUCCAGUAGGAUUCCCUUUGCUGAUCUGUGCCUUUGACCUCUGCUCUGCCACUUCUGUUUUACCUGCAAGGGGCAUGACAUACAGGGCACUAAAUUAUAAAGUUCUCCCAGGCAGUUCCACCAAAGUCCCACAUUUAUACAAGGGAAGGCAUACACAGUUUUAACUGCCUAGCCUGGGGCAGCUGGCCUUUCCCCAGGCCCUUUAAAACACCUGUUUGACCAGCCUGUGGGUUCUUUCCCAUCGGGGUUCCAGCUUGAGUCCUGCUGGUAGCCCUUGGCACAAGGCCUGGUAGGCAGCUUGGUGCUGCCAUGUACCAAACUCUGCUGGGGAAACCUCAGCCACAGCAGGUGCAAACCCAUUAGGUAUAGCAUGGUUCAAGAUAUUUUUGCUUGUUUCAAUAACAUUUUUGUUCUUGAUUUUAAGGGCUACUUUAGAAACUGUUUUAAAAUAUUUUUGAAAGUAUAAAGAGGUGAAUAAAACAUACUCUUGUUCCACUGUGCAAAGAUAGUCACUGUUAAUGUUUCUUUCCAGUCGUUUUCUAUGCAUAGUUUAGCCGUGACUUCUCAUGGGGACAAACCCACUGGUUUAAUUCAACCCCCCAAUGUCAGGUUUUUAUAGGUCAGCCCAGAGUUCUCAAGCCCAGUCAUAAAGCAGAGUUAGGACUCAAAUUCACACCCUGUGACUGAGCUGUUUCUACUGUACCAUGAGACACUACCCACAAAUCACUCCUUCUCCAGUAUCUACGACGUGACCAUAACAAACCAUACCCCUUGGACAGAUAUUCCUAAAAAAAAAAAAAAAAAAGUUUCAGAAAUACCCGACCAAAUACAAAAAGUUUGGAUGUUUUCCUUUAGCAGUGGUGUGGAGACUCUAGUGUGCUCUUGUAUAGAAGCGUAGCAUGCAGCUAAACCCAGUGCCCUGGAAACCUUCUUUGCAGAGCAUCUGUGGACAGGGAUUCUGGAACAUGCUCUGGGAGACAUGGUACUUUGCAGUUUGUGGCAGACCCCAGGCCUGUGUCCUUAGAUCUGGCAAGGGAAAGGCAAGUCUUUGGUGGAGAUGUAUAGCUAGAAAGGGACCCGUCUUCUAGGAAAAGAAAAACACAGUUCCUUAAAAACUAAUCUAAUUCUGCCACAAAUAAACAGGAUCCGUUAUUCACACAGUGAGGCCAUCCUCAGCAGGGAGAAGACAAUGGCAGAGUGGAGAUGCUGGUCAGGUUGCUUAGCAGAUCAUUUAAAGCAGUUGCUUUCCUAGUAGCUUUGUCCUGAAUUGGGUCUGGGAGAUUUAGAGAAUACAUCAUAGUAGAGACAAAUACAUCAUAUUGGUGUGCAAGUUGAUAAUUAGCACACCAAUCGACUUGAAGAAGAAGGGUUGGAAACCCAAAACAAUUAUUUUGAGGCUGCAAAUGUUCUGACACGUUGAGUUGAGUUUGCGUUCAGUUGAGUUUGAUGGGUAAGGCUCUGCCUCUGGGAGAACCGUGUAUGCUUUCUGAGAGUGGAGAGAGGCUUACUACAAACUUGGUCAAAAUUCCUGGUGGUGACACAUCAUAAUGCCAACUUUCCAAGGGUGUGGCUUGGCUCCAGCUCACGUUGGAAUCACAACACAGCAGACAGCUGUGGAACUCCUCAGACUCAGGCCAUUGGAGGGCCCAGGAAGAUACACCGUGGCAGGGGAGUGGGUCUGUGUUUGGCAUCUUGUGCUUUGCAGUGAACCAGAGCUCACUGUUUCUGUUUCAUCCUCGCACCACUAGCUGCUGUCAGCGCAGGCCACGGCCUGCCUGCCAAGUUUGUGAUCCACUGUAAUAGUCCAGUCUGGGGUGCAGACAAGUGUGAAGAACUUCUGGAAAAGACAGUGAAAAACUGCUUGGCCCUGGCUGAUGAUAAGAAGCUGAAAUCCAUUGCAUUUCCAUCCAUCGGCAGUGGCAGGAACGGUUUUCCAAAGCAGACAGCAGCUCAGCUGAUUCUGA